CAACCAUGAAGUAGGCUUGGAGGUAGCCAUCUUUUAAUGAUAGUGUAACAACUCAGUGGUCUAAUUUGAGGAGAGAAGCGUCGAAAAUUAACGGGUCUUAGACAAUAUACCUACACCGUGACUAUUUAUAAUAAUAUCUCUUUUAUUAUAAAUAAGGGUAGCAGAACACUCAGUAUCUGAUUGAAGGAAAAUGUUUCAUUUUCUGGACAGUACUGAAGAGAAAAUGCUGACAUGAGUAACGUAGAAAGGAGUUAAAACACUCCUCGCCGAAUACGAGAGGGUUUCAUGGAGAAGUUAAUCUGCCAUGAGUUAUGCGGACUCUAAGGAAAAUAGGCGAAUGUCUAUAUCUGAUGAGAACUACUUGAAUUACACUGAAUUAUCUAUAUAUAAUAAUUAUUUUAUUCAUUUGUAUGUAAAUUUGCAGAGUUAGAAUAAUUAGAUCAAGAAAAAUAAGUGUCACUAUAUAAAUAGUGAAUCCGUACCCUAAACCGACACAGGUUCGUAGGUAGAGAAUACUAAGGCGUAGAGAUAAUGCUUGUGAAGGAACUCGGCAAAUUGUGCCCGUAAGUUAGACGAUAAGGGUAACCAGAAUAAAUAAUUAUAUUAAAAAUUCUGAGUGUCACAAAAUCGAGGGCUGCGACUGUUUACCAAAAACACAGCAACUUGCUAAGACGAAUAGUACUUGUAUAAGUUGUGAACUCUGCCCAAUGCCAUGUCGUGUAAAGAAGGUGAUCUAUUUAUUAAUUUCUAAUAAUAGAGUCACUAACUGAUGCCAUGGUGAAUGGCGGUCUUAACUAUAAGGAUCUGAAAGUAGCGAAAUUCCUUGGCCAUUAAAUGUGGUCCUGCAUGAAUGAGGUAACGUGGCCCUGCUGUCUCCACAAGCAUCUCAGUGAAAUUGAAUUAGCCGUGCAGAUGCGGUUUACCUUCAGUUAGACGGGAAGACCCUAUGCAGCUUUACUGUAACUUGAUAUUGUUUCUUCUAUAGCUAGGUGUAGUAUACAAGGGAGUAAAUAUUUUUUACAUCAGUGAAAUACCUUGACUAGUCUAAAGAAGAAACUUACCUGUAAUUUUCUAGUAGUACUACAUCUUAUAAAAAAGGAUCUUCAAUUUACAUUUAUAAGAUAGUCUUCUAUAAAUAAAAUUUUUAAUUUGAAUAGAGAUAUAGAAUAUUUUUAUUUUCAUAGAGUUAUUCUAUGGCUAUAUUAUAAGAACUUUGAGUAGUUUAAUAGCUAUUCUAUAAAGUCUUCUAUGAUAUUUAUAGGAACAAUUUUUUUUUUUAAUUUACUAAAUUAAAAAUCAUAGGAAAAUUGUUCUAUAAGAUGUCAGGAAAUGAUUAAAUGGGAAAAUAUCAGGUGGUCAGUUUGACUGGGACGGUAGCCUCUAAUAAAGUAUCAGAGGCCUUCAAAGGUAUGCAUAUAUUGGUCAGAAACCAAUGAACUAUGUAAAGUUUAUUAAAGCGUAAUAGUGUAAGCAUGCUUGACUGAAAGACUGAUAGGUCAAUCAGAUACGCAAGUAGGAUAUAGUGAUCCGGUGAUUCAUAAUGGAAUGGUCAUCGCUCAAGAAAUAAAAGUUACGCUAGGGAUAACAGGUUUAUCGUUUGCGAGAGUUCAUAUUGUCCAAACGGUUUGACACCUCGAUGUCGACUCAUCUCAUCCUCCAGGUGCAGUAGCUUGGAAGGGUUCAGCUGUUCGCUGAUUAAAGAGGUACGCGAGUUGGGUUCGUAAAUACUUACGACAAUUAUUGUACAUCACCACUCAUCUUA
rfam:Triticum urartu cultivar G1812 contig97470, whole genome shotgun sequence.